rnacentral:rRNA from 1 species
UACGGAGGGUGCGAGCGUUGUUCGGAAUCACUGGGCGUAAAGCGCGUGUAGGCGGUCCGCUAAGUCUGGUGUGAAAGCCCGGGGCUCACCCCCGGAAGGGCACUGGAAACUGGCGGACUCGAGUCCCGGAGAGGAGGGUGGAAUUCCUGGUGUAGCGGUGAAAUGCGUAGAUAUCUGGAGGAAUACCGGUGGCGAAGGCGGCAUCCUGGACCGACAUUGACGCUGAUGAGCGAAAGCUAGGGGGGCAAACGGG